UUACCCCCUUCACCUUAAAUUUAUGACCUGUGGUUUUAGACAUUUCCCUGUAAGCUGUUUUCCCUACAUCCCCAACAACUCAGGAUUUUUGGACGGACUUGGACUGUGGUCGGAUGCUACCAGGAUGCUGCGUCAGCAAGUUGGCGGCACUGGAGGUUUACCGUCUGUGUGAGAUGAUGGGACUUUAGAGAGACUUUCACCGUGCCAUGACUCUACAAUUUCCACUCUUGGGAUCCAGCACCAACCUGAUUUUCUCAAUCUACCUGCAUAUUGAAAUCCCCCAUGACUAUCAUAACAUCCAUCAAAGUUGCUGGUGAACGCAGCAGGCCAAGCAGCAUCUAUAGGAAGAGGCGCGGUCGACGUUUCAGGCCGAGACCCUUCGUCAGGACUAACUGAAGGAAGAGGGCCAUGGACAAUUCUGAUUUGAUGGAGACAGACGUGAAAGCACCGAGGAACAUCUGGAGAAAUUUCUGAAACACAAGUUCGCUGCUGUUGUUACUGCGCAAUCGAGAAUCUUCCGGAGGGAAGGCCUCAAAAUCUGCGGCUUUGCCUGCUGCUGGCGACCGAGAUUGAGGUUGAAUAGUUCGGAUAGAGAUGGCGCUCGGUACUCGGUGUUGGAGAGCUGAUCAGAGCUCGAAGUUUUCGGACAACUCAAAGUCGGACUGUGGUCGAGCAUGGCAGGGAGAGUUUUUCUUCCUUCUCCCAUCUGCGUGAGAUGUGGGACUUUCGAGAGACUUUGAACUUUUUACUGUGCCAUGGACUGUUCUUCAUCAAGUUAUGGUAUUGUUGCACUGUUGUAACGAUAUGUUAUAAUUAUGUGGUUUUGUUAGUUUUUUCAGUCUUGGUCUGUCCUGUGUUUUGUGAUAUCACACCGGAUGAAUAUUGUAUCAUUUCUUCAUGCAUGUAUUACUAAAUGACAA